rnacentral:rRNA from 1 species
AUUGAACGCUGGCGGCAUGCCUUACACAUGCAAGUCGAACGGCAGCACGGGAGCAAUCCUGGUGGCGAGUGGCGAACGGGUGAGUAAUAUAUCGGAACGUGCCCGGGUCGUGGGGGAUAACGUAGCGAAAGCUACGCUAAUACCGCAUACGAUCUACGGAUGAAAGCGGGGGAUCGCAAGACCUCGCGCGAUUGGAGCGGCCGAUAUCAGAUUAGGUAGUUGGUGAGGUAAAGGCUCACCAAGCCGACGAUCUGUAGCUGGUCUGAGAGGACGACCAGCCACACUGGGACUGAGACACGGCCCAGACUCCUACGGGAGGCAGCAGUGGGGAAUUUUGGACAAUGGCGCAAGCCUGAUCCAGCAAUGCCGCGUGCAGGAUGAAGG